GAGAGUUUGAUCCUGGCUCAGGAUGAACGCUAGCUACAGGCUUAACACAUGCAAGUCGAGGGGCAGCAUGGUCUUAGCUUGCUAAGGCCGAUGGCGACCGGCGCACGGGUGAGUAACGCGUAUCCAACCUGCCUUACACUCUUGGACAGCCUUCUGAAAGGGAGAUUAAUACAAGAUGUUAUCAUGAGUAAGCAUUUUCGCAUGAUUAAAGGUUUACCGGUGUAAGAUGGGGAUGCGUUCCAUUAGAUAGUAGGCGGGGUAACGGCCCACCUAGUCUUCGAUGGAUAGGGGUUCUGAGAGGAAGGUCCCCCACAUUGGAACUGAGACACGGUCCAAACUCCUACGGGAGGCAGCAGUGAGGAAUAUUGGUCAAUGGACGAGAGUCUGAACCAGCCAAGUAGCGUGAAGGAUGAAGGUUCUAUGGAUUGUAAACUUCUUUUAUACGGGAAUAAACGAAUCCACGUGUGGAUUUUUGCAUGUACCGUAUGAAUAAGGAUCGGCUAACUCCGUGCCAGCAGCCGCGGUAAUACGGAGGAUCCGAGCGUUAUCCGGAUUUAUUGGGUUUAAAGGGAGCGUAGAUGGGUUGUUAAGUCAGUUGUGAAAGUUUGCGGCUCAACCGUAAAAUUGCAAUUGAUACUGGCAGUCUUGAGUACAGUUGAGGUAGGCGGAAUUCGUGGUGUAGCGGUGAAAUGCUUAGAUAUCACGAAGAACUCCGAUUGCGAAGGCAGCUUACUAACCUGUAACUGACAUUGAUGCUCGAAAGUGUGGGUAUCAAACAGGAUUAGAUACCCUGGUAGUCCACACGGUAAACGAUGAAUACUCGCUGUAGGCGAUAUACAGUCUGCGGCCAAGCGAAAGCAUUAAGUAUUCCACCUGGGGAGUACGCCGGCAACGGUGAAACUCAAAGGAAUUGACGGGGGCCCGCACAAGCGGAGGAACAUGUGGUUUAAUUCGAUGAUACGCGAGGAACCUUACCCGGGCUUAAAUUGCAACCGAAUAUGGCGGAAACGCUAUAGCUAGCAAUAGCGGUUGUGAAGGUGCUGCAUGGUUGUCGUCAGCUCGUGCCGUGAGGUGUCGGCUUAAGUGCCAUAACGAGCGCAACCCUUGCCGAUAGUUACUAACAGGUUAUGCUGAGGACUCUGUCGGGACUGCCAUCGUAAGAUGUGAGGAAGGUGGGGAUGACGUCAAAUCAGCACGGCCCUUACGUCCGGGGCUACACACGUGUUACAAUGGGGGGUACAGAGGGCUGCUACCACGCAAGUGGAUGCCAAUCCCAAAAACCUCUCUCAGUUCGGAUUGAAGUCUGCAACCCGACUUCAUGAAGCUGGAUUCGCUAGUAAUCGCGCAUCAGCCACGGCGCGGUGAAUACGUUCCCGGGCCUUGUACACCCCGCCCGUCAAGCCAUGGGAGCCGGGGGUACCUGAAGUGCGUAACCGCAAGGAGCGCCCUAGGGUAAAACUGGUGACUGGGGCUAAGUCGUAACAAGGUAGCCG
rnacentral:rRNA from 1 species